CAUCAUUUGUUUUACAUCUUCAACGCAAGCACGGAGAUUGGGAUGAGACAUUGGCUGAUAAGUUGACCGUCAACGACCUCUCCAUAGAAGCAGAUACUAUGCGCAAACAAGGUUGUACCAUCUCCGAGGGGGUGAAACACACAAUGCUUGCCAUACAGAAUGGGGAUGAGAGAUACGUUCGCCAGCUGUUUAUGCUCAGAAAGAUAAGCAAGGAAAGGCUUGACGCUGCUCAUGAGUAUCUGGGGAUGGAGCCUUUGCCAGUAGUGGUAUGUAGCUCAAUGCCUUUUUUU